UACGAAGGGGGCUAGCGUUGUUCGGAAUCACUGGGCGUAAAGCGCACGCAGGCGGAUCGUUAAGUCAGGGGUGAAAUCCCGAGGCUCAACCUCGGAACUGCCUUUGAUACUGGCAAUCUUCGAGUCCGGGAGAGGUGAGUGGAACUCCGAGUGUAGAGGUGAAAUUCGUAGAUAUUCGGAAAGAACACCAGUGGCGAAGGCGGCUCACUGGCCCGGUACUGACGCUCAGGUGCGAAAGCGUGGGGAGCAAACAGG
rnacentral:rRNA from 1 species